ACUGGAUAUUGUGGAGUGGAGUUUGUAGUGCUCGUAAUGCUAUAAUUUGAAAAGAAAAAGAAAAAUGUCAGACAUAACUCGUUAAAAUCUGUUGAACCUGUAAGCUACAACUUCUCUGAUUUACAAGAUUUAACAUUUUUUUAAUCCUGCAUAGUGCACCUUUAAAUGUACUACAAACAAAAAAUGCAAACAAACCUCAAGAAUUGCUCAGGAGAUAAAGCUCAAUGAUCAAUCUAAACAAAGAAAGAAUGAACAAAAAAAUGAAUAAAUUAAUGCUUGACAGCACACAACAGGGACAGUUAAUAACAACAAAACACAGGUCUACGACUUUCAAUAUACCUCUUAUGACUAAAACCAGAAAAAAAAAAAUCUAAUUUUAUUCUUAAUAUAAACAAUGAAUAUGCUGUCUCUCCAAAUAUAUGUCAGGACACAAAAAACACACCACAUGCCAAUAAAUACCAACAUUAAGGCAACUACAACAAAUAACCUGCUAGAGGCUAAAAAGAGAGAUUUAUUUAAUUUCAUUUAUUUAUUUAUUUUCAAAAAAUAUUUUUAUACUCGCCAAAGCUGAUAAAUUUAGUAAAAACAGUAAUAUUGUCAAUUAUUAUUACAGCUUAAAUUUACUUUUUAUUUUAUUAUAUUUUUACAUUUAAUUUAUUUUGGUGAUGGCAAACUGAAUUAUCAUAGUGUACUCCAUUUGUCAGUGUCAUGUUAUCAUCAAUAUUGAAAACAGUUGUGCUGCCUCAUAUUUUUGUGGAAAAGGUGAAUUAUAACUAUUAAUUUUGGGUUCAAUUUUUUUUUAUACUUUUACUAAGCAGACAUGAACUUAUCAAAAGUGUCAGUAUUUAACUGUUACAUAAGAUUUUGGACUUUUUUUUACUUUAUAUUCAAAGAAUGCUGAAAAAUGCAUCAGUUUAUUACAAAUCUUUAAAAUGCAUAACAGUUUAUCACAAAAAGUUUUGUGUUGCCCUUAAGGCAGUUAAUAAUUUAAUAAAUAAGUUAAAUGGUUUAAAAUGUUUAAAUGAAGCAUUUCUAAGAGUUUCUUAUAAGUAUUUCAUGUGUAUUUGUAAGUUUUAUUUAAAAAAUAUUAGCGGACAUUUUGAUUCUGGCUCGGCCGCGUUAACUUCCGGUUCGGCCGCGAUAACUUCCGGUUUCGGUUUCAUGGUAAACAGAGCAGGCGAAAUCCAGCAUGGUACGGUCAGCAAUCUGUCGCCAUUCUCACUAAAGCACUGUCAAGGCAAUGCCUUUUCACCAUCUGGAGAAGAAAUUAAAAUGCAAAAACGUCCUUUGUGGUCCUGGUCUUCUUCAGUGGUUUAUCUACGUGUUCAUUUGGCAACAUAA
ensembl:lncRNA